rnacentral:rRNA from 1 species
GCUCAAAAUAAAAUUUAGAGUGAAACCUGCCCAGUGAUUUUAAAUUAAAAAAUAUUAAUUUAUUUAAAUAAAAUUAAACGGACGCAGUAUCUUGACUGUGGUAAUGUAGCAUAAUAAUUUACCAUUUAAUUGGUGGAUGGUAUGAAUGGUUAAACGAAUAUUUCAUUGUCUUAAGAAAAAAAUUUAUAAAAUUAAAUUAAUAGUUAAGAUGCUAUUUAAAAUUGUAAGACGAAAAGACCCUAUAGAGCUUAACUAAAAUCUUUUUUAAAAUAACAAAUUUUAAUUUUAAAAUUAAAAAGAUUGUUAGUUUAGUUGGGGCGACUACCUUUUAUUUAAAACAAAGGUAAACAAAGUUUAAAAAAUAACUUAUUGUAUAAAAAAUAAUUUUAACAAUUAUAAAAAUAGGUUUUAAUGACCCGUUAUUUUUACAAAAAAAUAAUAACGAUUAAUAAAUAAAAGCUACCUUAGGGAUAACAGAAUAAUUUUAGUUUAGAGACCUUAUCGAAGCUAAAGUUUGUCACCUCUAUGUUGAAUUAAGAUAUCCAAAUAAUGCAGAAGUUAUUAAGGGUAGGUCUGUUCGACCUUUAAAAUCUU